rnacentral:rRNA from 1 species
UACAGAGGGCUCAAGCGUUGUUCGGAUUCAUUGGGCGUAAAGGGUGCGUAGGUGGCUGGGUAAGUCAGGUGUGAAAUCUCGGAGCUCAACUCCGAAACUGCACUUGAUACUGCCAUGCUCGAGUACUGGAGAGGAGAGUGGAAUUUACGGUGUAGCAGUGAAAUGCGUAGAUAUCUGGAGGAACACCGGUGGCGAAGGCGGCAUCCUGGACCGACACUGACGCUGAGGUGCGAAAGCCAGGGGAGCAAACGGG